rnacentral:rRNA from 1 species
CAAAUCAGGUAGGACUACCCGCUGAACUUAAGCAUAUCAAUAAGCGGAGGAAAAGAAACUAACAAGGAUUCCCCUAGUAACUGCGAGUGAAGCGGGAAAAGCUCAAAUUUAAAAUCUGGCAGUCUUUGAUUGUCCGAGUUGUAAUCUAGAGAAGUGUUAUCCGCGUUGGACCGUGUACAAGUCUCCUGGAAUGGAGCGUCAUAGAGGGUGAGAAUCCCGUCUUUGACACGGACUACCAGUGCUUUGUGAUGCGCUCUCAAAGAGUCGAGUUGUUUGGGAAUGCAGCUCAAAAUGGGUGGUAAAUUCCAUCUAAAGCUAAAUAUUGGCGAGAGACCGAUAGCGAACAAGUACCGUGAGGGAAAGAUGAAAAGAACUUUGGAAAGAGAGUUAAACAGUACGUGAAAUUGCUGAAAGGGAAACGCUUGAAGUCAGUCGCGUUGUCCGGGGAUCAACCUUGCUUUUGCUGGGUGUACUUUCCGGUUGACGGGUCAGCAUCAAUUUUGACCGUUGGAUAAAGUGUAGGGGAAUGUGGCAUCUUCGGAUGUGUUAUAGCCUCUGCUCGCAUACAACGGUUGGGAUUGAGGAACUCAGUACGCCGCAAGGCCGGGAAUUUAUUCCACGUUCGUACUUAGGAUGCUGGCAUAAUGGCUUUAAUCGACCCGUCUUGAA